rnacentral:rRNA from 1 species
CACGUAGGGUGCGAGCGUUGUCCGGAAUUAUUGGGCGUAAAGAGCUCGUAGGCGGUGUGUCGCGUCGGCCGUGAAAACCUGCAGCUUAACUGUGGGCUUGCGGUCGAUACGGGCAUCACUGGAGUUCGGCAGGGGAGACUGGAAUUCCUGGUGUAGCGGUGAAAUGCGCAGAUAUCAGGAGGAACACCGGUGGCGAAGGCGGGUCUCUGGGCCGAUACUGACGCUGGAGGUGCGGAAAGCGUGGGAGCGAACAG